UCCCUCAAAAAAUUUAAAAAGAAAAAAAAAAGUCUUCUCAUAUCUACCCCAUUAUACUAUGUUGCAGCUCUUUGGAACUUUUUGAAUGCUGAGACACGGCUGAGAGACCACGAUGGCUUUAUGGUAAACGUUCGGAAAGGCGAGGGGAAAGUGCCUAUUGAAAAUGAUUAAAGGCCAACGAAAAGAAGCUAGGAGACUUUUUGUAUGGUGGCUAUAGUACCUUAUAGCAAGAGACGAGUGCUAUAGCUGGAAAACCUUGGGUUGUUCUCCCGCUUCUCUCUAUCCGUAGAGCAUAAAACAUAAUCCCACCGGUUUUAUCUUUUCGUUCGUGAAAAGGCUUUAUGGAUUGACCUGCCUAGCACUUUAUUACGCGACCACUCCGCAACGAUAUUUUGAUUUGCACACGAUCUAUAGCCGAACGUCCCCAACAAGAAAACGCGCAUUGAAUGCCAACGGCUAGGUUCAUUUUGUACAUAGGAGGCAAAGGCCGCACUACCACAGCACGGGGGGAGAGAUAUUUUGGCGUCGGGUUGGAUGACCGCAGACGCAGCUUCCCGUCCAAGGUCGGCAUCAUCAGUCUUUGACUCAACGUCGACCCCUACCGGACACCAUCAACUGCUGGGCAUCAUUGAAGGCGGCACGUGAUGUAGAGAUUGGUUGAACCAAAGAUUAAACGAGCGCUGAACGUCAAUAUCUACUAUAGCCUAGCCGCACGAUGUAAUAAUACGUAGUCGACUUCCCCUUAGAAACAAGAAAACUAGACAUACCUGAAGACCUGUAGAUUCCGCACUGUUGCUACUAUAUUAAUUUUAUUCCGAAAUAUAAUUUAUGGUUUUUCCCAAAAUUUGAAAUUACCAUAUGGAACUGGAAAAGGUGGACGAGGAUUUUGUAUUUACUCACCGGCAUCAUUUUCUUUUUUUAAGAAAUCCACCGCCAAUGGGGACUGUUGAUAAAAGGUGGCGGGGUGGAGGAAUUUUUGAUUAAUGUCGUCUCACCGGCCCCAAGGUCGCCCAUCAGUCCAGCAUCUUCCCUAUCAGUUCCCUCCCUGGAGGCAACUACCCUUCCUCCUUCACCCAUCUCCUUAAUUGGUUUCCCGGUGCUAUGUGUCUGAAUGGUUCCAUCAGCCAUUUUUCAAUUGAACUUGAUGUUAUCAAGCGUAAAGUUCCAGCACUCGUCUUAUUCACUCAUUAUUGAUUCAGGACUCGGGGAGCAGCAAACUUAACAAUGUGUCUGUUGGUCGACAGGUGCAUAUCAACAUUCAUGCAAGCCCGCAGUAAUUAUAUAAGUGCAACAAUAUAUAUAUAAUAUAAUAUAAGAGCAUUAUAGAUUU